rnacentral:rRNA from 1 species
GCAUAAUCACUUGCCUAUUAAUUGUAGGCUAGAAUGAAUGGGGUAACGAAAUAAAACCUAUCUUAAUUAAACACCAUAUAAACUUAUAUCCAAGUGAAGAAGCUUAGAUUUAUUAAAAGGACAAGAAGACCCUAUAGAGCUUUAUUUAAAUAUUAACACUUAUAAUGUCACUUCGGUUGGGGCGACCCAGGAUAAAUCAUCCWGUAACAAAUAGACAAAUAUGUCAAU